AUGGGAAGCGUAACCAGACGCCGGGCACGGCUCGCCCUCACCGACCUCUUCCGAGCCGGGCGCUGCUCCCUGGGCUUUCCGAGCGGCAGGAAUGAUGGCGAGAGCACGGCCGAGCCGCCCGCAGCAUCCCCAUGGCUGCCGGCACCCGGCCCCGCUGGCAGGGAUGCCAAGGGGAUGCUGAGCUCCACCCGGGCCGCCUCCGGCGGGGUGUUUCUUGCAAACAGUUCCCAGCCCAGUUACUCUAUUGACUUUGCCUUAAAUGAGUGGCUUAAUUAUUAAUAGCUCGGCAGGAGAAAUGCCGAAGUGGAAGCUUUGUCCUGGGGCUCCCGUCGCAGCGGAGCGGCUGCUGGCGCCGGCUCUCAUCCGUUGGGUGGAAAGCCCUACUGCAGCCGGCAGCCGCAGUGCGAGGACGUGGUCGUGCCAACCAUGGCCCCCAGCACAUCCACGUCCCAGCCCCAGCCCCGCAUCCCCGCGGGUCCGAUGCUCCCCGCAGCAGCCAUCCCCUAGAUUUUCCCUUACGGGCACCGACCCCUUCGCAAGCUGAAUUUUAGGGAACCGCACACAAGGCACCACCGCCUCCAGCCCCCGGCAGCUCUGGCUCAGGCUCUCCUCACCCUAUGCCCAUCACGGGCACGCUCCUCCCAUCCCCCAUGCCUUGGCAUCUCAUGCCACGGGUGCCGGCACCCACCCGCCCUUCGCCUCCCGCGACCCCCCUGUGCCAGGCCCCGCGUCCUCAGCCCCCCAUCACCUCUUCCUUUGCUCCAGCUGCUCCCUGCAGUCCGUCCUUCUCCUCUCCUGGGAUGGCCGGGGCGCGGAGCGGGGGGAGCAAUGCUGCUCCGACAUGGAACAGGCUCUCCCCAAGCAGCCUGCGGCAGCUGCCCCGACCCUACGCCAUCCCCUAAACGGCAGCUCCAGCUCACCCGACCCGGUGGGGAUGGGGAAGCCAAAUAAGAAGGAUCUCCUUCCCCAGAGCUGCCGGUUCGAGGCGUGGAGCGAGGCUCCCGCUGCCACCCCGAGCGCCGUCUCUCCUCCGUCUCUCCACCCACCGCCGGAGCACAGAGGGCUCAUUCACCCCGCUGCCACCCCGCGCGCACAACAACGGGGCCGUUUGUCUCCAUCUGCGCCACCGCCAUCAACGGGGACAUUGUGGCCGAGUGCCCCGGCUCGCUGCAGCCAGAGCUGAGCCUGCCCAGGCCCGGCCUGGUGCUGCCAACCCGGCACCCCCAGUUAUGGGGUUGGGAUGGGGGGGGGUUCCUGGGAGCUUGGUGGGGCUGCUGGAGGUGCUGGAGCACCUUGCCCUGUGAGCACCAAGGAGAGGUCGAACACAGCCAGUGAGUGCUGGCGGUGCUCGCUCGGUGACUCGCUGCUUUUUGGCCCCCAGCCCAUAGGAGUGGUGGCUGUUUCUUCUCAGAGGCAUCUCGUCUCCAUGCAGCUCUAUGGGAAGAGCUCUUCCGUAUGGGGAGUGGCUCCAGGCUGGGUGUUCUCACCACUGGAACUGCCUGACCUCUGCUUCUCCUUGUUGCCUGGCAUCUCUCCCUGGCUUUUAUGGCCCCACAAUAGCAAUGCCCAUGUUCUCUGCUCUCCAGUUCAUCACUUGCCACGGGACAGGGAAGGCAGGUGCUCACGUGGACACCCAGAAGGGCACCCAAGCAAUGUCAGCAGGGCAGUGAGGAAGCUGGUGAGCAGCAUUUCCGUCCCACAUCACCCCACCAGCAGCCACAGAAGGGAUCAUUGUGUGCCGGAUGCUUCCCACCAGCCGGGGCUCUGCAUCCCUCACACCAACGGAAGGCAGACAAUGCAAAGCUGCUGCUGCUGCAUCACAGCCAUUGCAUUGAGCCCAGAAACAAGAAAAGCAAGAAUGUUCUCCAUUGCAGCAAAAAGAGGAGUAGAGAGCUGUCCCCUGCUCCCGGGUGUGAUGGAGGCACUGGCUAUGGGGAAUGCAGGUCCCUGCUCUCCUGGGACACAGCUCGUGGUGUCCCCAGCUGCAAUGUCACAGGAUGAGGGAAUCCGUGUAUGCAACCUCAGAAUCUUCAAAAUAAAAGCCUGAGCCUGUGUCA